CGAUGAUGCCCAGCUUGCUGGGCGGAUUAGUGGCGAACGGGUGAGUAAUACGUGAGUAACCUGCCCUUGACUCUGGGAUAAGCCUGGGAAACUGGGUCUAAUACUGGAUACUACCUCUUGCCGCAUGGUGGGUGGUGGAAAGGGUUUUACUGGUUUUGGAUGGGCUCACGGCCUAUCAGCUUGUUGGUGGGGUAAUGGCUCACCAAGGCGACGACGGGUAGCCGGCCUGAGAGGGUGACCGGCCACACUGGGACUGAGACACGGCCCAGACUCCUACGGGAGGCAGCAGUGGGGAAUAUUGCACAAUGGGCGGAAGCCUGAUGCAGCGACGCCGCGUGAGGGAUGACGGCCUUCGGGUUGUAAACCUCUUUCAGUAGGGAAGAAGCGAGAGUGACGGUACCUGCAGAAGAAGCGCCGGCUAACUACGUGCCAGCAGCCGCGGUAAUACGUAGGGCGCAAGCGUUGUCCGGAAUUAUUGGGCGUAAAGAGCUCGUAGGCGGUUUGUCGCGUCUGCUGUGAAAGCCCGGGGCUCAACCCCGGGUCUGCAGUGGGUACGGGCAGACUAGAGUGCAGUAGGGGAGACUGGAAUUCCUGGUGUAGCGGUGAAAUGCGCAGAUAUCAGGAGGAACACCGAUGGCGAAGGCAGGUCUCUGGGCUGUUACUGACGCUGAGGAGCGAAAGCAUGGGGAGCGAACAGGAUUAGAUACCCUGGUAGUCCAUGCCGUAAACGUUGGGCACUAGGUGUGGGGGACAUUCCACGUUUUCCGCGCCGUAGCUAACGCAUUAAGUGCCCCGCCUGGGGAGUACGGCCGCAAGGCUAAAACUCAAAGGAAUUGACGGGGGCCCGCACAAGCGGCGGAGCAUGCGGAUUAAUUCGAUGCAACGCGAAGAACCUUACCAAGGCUUGACAUUCACCGGACCGCCCCAGAGAUGGGGUUUCCCUUCGGGGCUGGUGGACAGGUGGUGCAUGGUUGUCGUCAGCUCGUGUCGUGAGAUGUUGGGUUAAGUCCCGCAACGAGCGCAACCCUCGUUCUAUGUUGCCAGCACGUGAUGGUGGGGACUCAUAGGAGACUGCCGGGGUCAACUCGGAGGAAGGUGGGGAUGACGUCAAAUCAUCAUGCCCCUUAUGUCUUGGGCUUCACGCAUGCUACAAUGGCCGGUACAAAGGGUUGCGAUACUGUGAGGUGGAGCUAAUCCCAAAAAGCCGGUCUCAGUUCGGAUUGAGGUCUGCAACUCGACCUCAUGAAGUCGGAGUCGCUAGUAAUCGCAGAUCAGCAACGCUGCGGUGAAUACGUUCCCGGGCCUUGUACACACCGCCCGUCAAGUCACGAAAGUUGGUAACACCCGAAGCCGGUGGCCUAACCCC
rnacentral:rRNA from 1 species